UACGUAGGGUGCAAGCGUUGUCCGGAAUUAUUGGGCGUAAAGAGCUCGUAGGCGGUUUGUCGCGUCUGCUGUGAAAACUCAGGGCUUAACCCUGAGCCUGCAGUGGGUACGGGCAGACUAGAGUGUGGUAGGGGAGAUCGGAAUUCCUGGUGUAGCGGUGGAAUGCGCAGGAUAUCAGGAGGAACACCGGUGGCGAAGGCGGAUCUCUGGGCCAUAACUGACGCUGGAGGAGCGAAAAGCAUGGGGAGCGAACAGGA
rnacentral:rRNA from 1 species